rnacentral:rRNA from 1 species
CCUACGGGAGGCAGCAGUGAGGAAUAUUGGUCAAUGGCCGAGAGGCUGAACCAGCCAAGUCGCGUGAGGGAAGACGGCCCUACGGGUUGUAAACCUCUUUUGUCGGGGAGCAAAGCGAGUCACGUGUGACUCAUUGAGAGUACCCGAAGAAAAAGCAUCGGCUAAGUCCGUGCCAGCAGCCGCGGUAAUACGGAGGAUGCGAACGGUAUCCGGAUUUAUUGGGUGUAAAGGGUGCGCAGGCGGAGGUGCAAGUCAGUGGUCAAAUUGCGGGGCUCAACCCCGUACUGCCGUUGAAAAUGCCUCCCUUGCGUUCGCGCGAAGUAUGCGGAAUGAGUGGUGUAGCGGUGAAAUGCAU